UAUCCUUUUAAUAAAGGAAAUACGAAUUGAAAUUUUGUCUAAUUUGGCUUCAAUUUUGAUUUCAAUUUUAGAUUUUGUUCUUUGUUAUUCAAAAUCAUUAAGGGUAAUUUGGUCUUAACAAUCUUCUAAACUUUAUAUGAUCCGAUUCAAUCUAAACCGUUCAAUAAAAUUAAUUCCCUUCAAUCUAAACCGUUUAACAAAAAUAAGUAAAUAACAACUAAAAAAAAUUUAAACACAUUCCUCUUAUCACUAAAUAACAACAAAAAAACUUCCAAAUAUUAUUUAGUUAUGUUUGAUUAAAAAAUUUAUAUUUAUAAACCUAUUGCUCGCGGUAAACCGUGGGUGAAAUCCUAGUAUAUAGUUAUUACCGAUAGCAAAUACAGUACUUAUCAAAACCA
rnacentral:sRNA from 1 species